rnacentral:rRNA from 1 species
GAUGAACGCUGGCGGCGUGCCUAAUACAUGCAAGUCGAGCGAACGGACGAGAAGCUUGCUUCUCUGAUGUUAGCGGCGGACGGGUGAGUAACACGUGGAUAACCUACCUAUAAGACUGGGAUAACUUCGGGAAACCGGAGCUCAUACCGGAUAAUAUUUUGAACCGCAUGGUUCAAAAGUGAAAGACGGUCAUGCUGUCACUUAUAGAUGGAUCCGCGCUGCAUUAGCUAGUUGGUAAGGUAACGGCUUACCAAGGCAACGAUGCAUAGCCGACCUGAGAGGGUGAUCGGCCACACUGGAACUGAGACACGGUCCAGACUCCUACGGGAGGCAGCAGUAGGGAAUCUUCCGCAAUGGGCGAAAGCCUGACGGAGCAACGCCGCGUGAGUGAUGAAGGUCUUCGGAUCGUAAAACUCUGUUAUUAGGGAAGAACAUAUGUGUAAGUAACUGUGCACAUCUUGACGGUACCUAAUCAGAAAGCCACGGCUAACUACGUG